CCAUCUAACCCUAAUCCCCAUUCUCUCCUCCGUUCCCUCAGCCGCCACAACUGCCCACUCCUGAUUCCGGCGAUUCUGGCAGCUAUCGCCGGCGCGGUGCACACCGCCGAGGUCGGCUCUUUCGGCUCCAUCCUCCCCCCUGGCAAGAUUUUCCCUUCCCGGCCUCUACCGCUCGCCCAAAUCCCACACCCGUGCUAGGGUUUCGGCCUCUCUCAUCGCCUUCGUUAUUGGCGCAUGUCCGACGGCCUCUGGCGGCUCUUCUCCACCGUCUUUAGCGCCCCCACGUGCGCCCUCGCCUUCUGAUGUUCUACCUCGAGCAGGGCGGCGCGGAGGAUCUCCUCCCGCAGGAUCCACAGACGUGGCGCACCCUGCAGCCGCCUGUCCGGGAGGAGGGCGGACACUGUGUCCUUGUCCUGCUCGAUGACGAUCGCGGCGAACGCCGGUGCUGCUCCUCAUUCUCGACCUUCAAGGAGGAGCACUGGUACAGCAGAAGCACGCCCUUCCCCUGAACAAUCUUCAUGGCGUCAGGACGUCCUCCUCCUUGACGCGGCUGUUCCCAAUGAGCUCUCUCCUCCGGAGGAGGUGAAGCAGCUUGUCCAGCACCCCCUUGGCCUCCUAUCCUGCACCACAUGAACGAGCUCACCGACGGUUGCGUUCUGCCCUCCUAGCGUGAUAUUGGUUAUGGCAGCAUUUUCAACAAGAAAGACUGCGUUUUGACAACUUUGGCAUGGACGGGUGGAUCUGCUGCUUGGAAGACCCCUAGUUGGUGUGUGGCCGCCUGAUAAGAGUGGCCAUCGCUUGGUGGGCGUGGUGCUGGUAGUAGAGUAGGAUAGUGUUCUUCGGGACAUGCUUGUAAAAUUAAGGUUUUUGGGUCUUUUUUUCCGCUCCUGUACAAGUGUAUUUUUGGAUCUGUUGUUGUAAUUUUCUUUUUCUAAUGACAUGAGCAUAUACUUUCUGUCAAAUUCUUAUUGGCGUAAAUUUUCCAUGGAAAA